UGGCGGCCUUAGCGCGGUGGUCCCACCUGACCCCAUGCCGAACUCAGAAGUGAAACGCCGUAGCGCCGAUGGUAGUGUAGGGUCUCCCCAUGCGAGAGUAGGGAACUGCCAGGCA
rnacentral:rRNA from 4 species